rnacentral:rRNA from 1 species
CCCUUAGAUGUUCUGGGCCGCACGCGCGCUACACUGAUGAAUGCAACGAGCUCUACCCUUGACCGAAAGGCCCGGGUAAACUUGUGAAACUUCAUCGUGAUGGGGAUAGAUUAUUGCAAUUAUUAAUCUUCAACAAGGAAUUCCUAGUAAGCGCGAGUCAUCAGCUCGCGUUGAUUACGUCCCUGCCCUUUGUACACACCGCCCGUCGCUCCUACCGAUUGAAUGGUCCGGUGAAAUCUUCGGAUUGCUGACCAAGAUCCAGCAAUGGAGCUUGGUUGCGAGAAGUUGAUUAAACCUUAUUAUUUAGAGGAAGGAGAAGUCGUAACA